rnacentral:rRNA from 1 species
AUGUCCUCCUCCACCACAGUUACCUCUUCUGGCCUCAACUACAACACAUCAGAACCUCUUAGCCGGACGUACUACGUUCUCUGGCGAGCCCAAGCACGAUCCCAGAUACUGGGAGCUAGCUUGUUUGGCUAUAUAGAUCAAACUAUCGAGGAGCCUCCCAAAACAAUCACUAGCAAAGAUAAAGAUGGCAAGGAGCAGGUAGUUCCCAAUCCUGCCCAUAACCCCUGGUUAGUUCAAGAUCAGUAAAUCGUAGCAUACCUUCUCCGCAAUCUGUCAUGGGAGGUGCUCGUUCAAGUGGCCUCGCUUGAAUCAUCACAUGCGAUCUGGACUGCGUUGGCAAAUAUGUUUUCUGCAGUUUCUCUGUCUCGCGUGAACAACAUCAGAUCAGCCCUCACGAACGCC